rfam:Oryza rufipogon genomic scaffold, chr06
AAUAAGUGCAGUUUUGCACUAUUCACGUUCAACGUUUGACCAUUCGUCUUAUUUGAAUUUUUUUUAUGAUUAGUAUGUUUAUUGCUAUUAGAUGAUAAAACAUGAAUAGUACUUUAUGUGUGACUAAAUAUUUUAAAAUUUUUCACAAAUUUUUUAAAUGAGACGGACGGUCAAAUGUUAAGCACGGAUAUUCAUAGCUGCACUUAUU